GUGCACUUCGGCAGCACGUGCACUAAAGCUGCAACAACACAGAGAAGGUUAGCAUGGCUUCUGCACGAGGGCGACACGCAAACCUGUGAAACACUCAUAUUUUUU